CCCUAAAAAUUUUAGGUUUCCAUCUUAUUCUCAAUUUUGGAUGUGGGGUUUCUCCGGCAAAGGGGGCUAGUAAGAUAGAGAAAAUAUCAUCGGCUCCUUCCCGACGACCACAUCGAUCUCUCUCGCGGUCACGUGUUCUUCCCCCUCCGGCCAACUGCUCUUCGUCAAUGGUAUCUCGCUCGCUUCACAUUAUCACUAUGUUCUGUGAGUGAAUCAGUUGCUUUAUCCACUCUCCAAAUUCAUACACUCUACAAAGAGUGCUGCUCUUUUGGUGGCACAACGACUGUUAAGUGGCAUCAACUAAACCCCGUGAAACGGCAUCAUUACCACACCAAAAGACAUGAAUGCUUAUGAAAAGAGUAGAAUGACAAGGAUUCAAGAGAACCAAAAAAAAUUACAAGCUUUGAGAUUGAAAAAUAUUGCUAAAUCUUUGACAAGUCUAGCAGAGAGAGAAAAAACAAAGAAAAAGAAAAAGAAAUCAAUGGAUACCAGUGAGAAAGAUAUAGAUGUAGAGUAUAUGCCUGGUUCUGAUGUUGAUGUUGAGCAAGAUUAUCAAGAAGCAACAAAAAUCUCUAAAAAG